rnacentral:sRNA from 1 species
UCCUAGCCCUGAUAAAAAUGGAAAUCCUUUGGAUUAAAAACAGUACUUUUUUCUCAUAAAAAAAGAGCGACCAACGGAAGCUCCUUUUUAUAUUUAGAAAAAGACUGUUUUUAAUCCAAAGAUUGAAAUGAAUAGCAGGAAAUAGC